rnacentral:rRNA from 1 species
ACAUACACCUGUGCACCGUUUGGCUCUUAUAAAAGAUGAAAGUCUGCAAUGAGAGUCAUCAAUUUUAUACAUACCCCAGUCUUAUGAAUGUAACAGUUUUAAUAAACAUAAUAAAACUUUUAACAACGGAUCUCUUGGUUCUCGCAUCGAUGAAGAACGCAGCGAAAUGCGAUAAGUAAUGUGAAUUGCAGAAUUCAGUGAAUCAUCGAAUCUUUGAACGCACCUUGCGCUCCUUGGUAUUCCGAGGAGCAUGCCUGUUUGAGUGUCAUGAAACUCUCAACCUUCAGCUUUUUUAUUAAGGCUGAAGGCUUGGACUUGAGCGCUGCUGGUUCUCACGAACCGGCUCGCUUGAAAUGAAUUAGCAGAUCCUUUUUGUAAUCGGUUCCACUCGACGUGAUAAGUAUUUCGCCGAGGACAUAUGAAAGUAUGGCCGAGAUAAAGAAAGUUCUAGAUCCGCUUCUAAUUCUUAGAUAAAGCUUGCUUUACUAAACCCCAUUUUAUGAUCUGGCCUCAAAUCAGGUAGGACUACCCGCUGAACUUAAGCAUAUCAAUAAGCGGAGGAAAAGAAACUAACAAGGAUUCCCCUAGUAACGGCGAGUGAAGCGGGAUGAGCUCAAAUUUAAAAUCUGGCGGCCUCAGGUCGUCCGAGUUGUAGUCUAGAGAAUCGUUUUCCGCGUUGGCCUGUGUACAAGUCCCUUGGAACAG